rnacentral:misc_RNA from 1 species
GUGCCAUUCAUUGCUGUCCCGG